rnacentral:misc_RNA from 1 species
UCGAGUUUUGAAACCGAAGGCUUGUGCUGGUGCGGAAACGCAUAUGUGCACGGCUUUCGUGCUCAAAUCCCAAACACACAUGUGAACCCACCGUAGGCCUUCGGGCCUAUGUCUUAUCAUAUAAUCCGAAUGUCUAAUAGAAUGUAAACCCAUUUCGUUGCCUUGAAAACGUAACGAAAGAAAACUAUA